UUAAAUUGAAGAGUUUGAUCAUGGCUCAGAUUGAACGCUGGCGGCAGGCCUAACACAUGCAAGUCGAACGGUAACAGGAAGCAGCUUGCUGCUUCGCUGACGAGUGGCGGACGGGGGAGUAAUGUCUGGGAAACUGCCUGAUGGAGGGGGAUAAC
rnacentral:rRNA from 1 species